rnacentral:rRNA from 1 species
CCCUUAGACGUUCUGGGCUGCACGCGCGUUACACUGAUGCACUCAACGAGCAUAUAACCUUGGCCGAGAGGCCUGGGUAAUCUUGUUAACAUGCAUCGUGAUAGGGAUAGAUUAUUGCAAUUAUUAAUCUUGAACGAGGAAUUCCUAGUAAUCGCAGAUCAUCAAUCUGCAAUGAUUACGUCCCUGCCCUUUGUACACACCGCCCGUCGCACCUACCGAUUGAAUGGUCCGGUGAGGACUCGGGAUUGUGGUUUGGCUCCUUCAUUGGGGCCUGACUGUGAGAACUUGUCCAAACCUUAUCAUUUAGAGGAAGGUGAAGUCGUAACA